ACCGGAGCUAAUACCGGAUAAUAUAUUGAACUGCAUGGUUCAAUAGUGAAAGACGGUUUUGCUGUCACUUAUAGAUGGAUCCGCGCCGCACUAGCUAGUUGGUAAGGUAACGGCUUACCAAGGCAACGAUGCGUAGCCGACCUGAGAGGGUGAUCGGCCACACUGGAACUGAGACACGGUCCAG
rnacentral:rRNA from 1 species